rnacentral:rRNA from 1 species
GAUGGACCCGCGGUGCAUUAGCUAGUUGGUGAGGUAACGGCUCACCAAGGCCACGAUGCAUAGCCGACCUGAGAGGGUGAUCGGCCACAUUGGGACUGAGACACGGCCCAAACUCCUACGGGAGGCAGCAGUAGGGAAUCUUCGGCAAUGGACGAAAGUCUGACCGAGCAACGCCGCGUGAGUGAAGAAGGUUUUCGGAUCGUAAAACUCUGUUGUUAGAGAAGAACAAGGGUGAGAGUAACUGUUCACCCCUUGACGGUAUCUAACCAGAAAGCCACGGCUAACUACGUGCCAGCAGCCGCGGUAAUACGUAGGUGGCAAGCGUUGUCCGGAUUUAUUGGGCGUAAAGCGAGCGCAGGCGGUUUCUUAAGUCUGAUGUGAAAGCCCCCGGCUCAACCGGGGAGGGUCAUUGGAAACUGGGAGACUUGAGUGCAGAAGAGGAGAGUGGAAUUCCAUGUGUAGCGGUGAAAUGCGUAGAUAUAUGGAGGAACACCAGUGGCGAAGGCGGCUCUCUGGUCUGUAACUGACGCUGAGGCUCGAAAGCGUGGGGAGCAAACAGGAUUAGAUACCCUGGUAGUCCACGCC